rnacentral:rRNA from 1 species
AACGAACGUUAGCGGCGCGCUUGACACAUGCAAGUCGAACGAGAAAGGGACUUCGGUCCCCGGUAAAGUGGCGCACGGGUGAGUAACACGUGGGUAACCUACCCCCGGGCGGGGGAUAACGUACCGAAAGGGACGCUAAUACGGCAUGAGACCACGACAUGGACUGGUUGGGGUCAAAGAGGGCCUCUUCAUGAAAGCUCUCACCUGGGGAUGGGUCCGCGGACCAUCAGGUAGUUGGUGGGGUAACGGCCUACCAAGUCUAAGACGGGUAGCUGGUCUGAGAGGAUGAUCAGCCACACUGGAACUGAGACACGGUCCAGACUCCUACGGGAGGCAGCAGUGGGGAAUCUUGCGCAAUGGGCGAAAGCCUGACGCAGCGACGCCGCGUGAGUGAUGAAGGCCUUAGGGUUGUAAAGCUCUGUGGAGAGGGACGAAUAAGCGAUGGCGAAUAACCAUCGUGAUGACGGUACCUCCUUAGCAAGCACCGGCUAACUCUGUGCCAGCAGCCGCGGUAAAAC